UACGUAGGCAGCGAGCGUUGUUCGGAGUUACUGGGCGUAAAGAGUGCGUAGGCGGUGCUCCAAGUCUGGUGUGAAAUCUCCCGGCUUAACCGGGAGGGUGCGCCGGAAACUGGGGUGCUGGAGUGUGGGAGAGGUAAGCGGAAUUCCAGGUGUAGCGGUGAAAUGCGUAGAUAUCUGGAGGAACACCGGUGGCGAAGGCGGCAUCCUGGACCAACACUGACGCUGAGGAGCGAAAGCCAGGGGAGCAAACGGG
rnacentral:rRNA from 1 species